AAUGAACGUUGGCGGCGUGGAUUAGGCAUGCAAGUCGAGCGAGAACCCGCAAGGGGGACAGCGGCAAACGGGGUAGUAAUGUGUCGGAACGUGCCCUCUGGACGGGGAUAGCGGCGGGAAACUGCCGGUAAUACCCGAUGAUCUCGAGAGAGCAAAGGUGUGAUUCCGCCGGAGGAGCGGCCGACAUGGUCUUAGCUAGUUGGCGGGGUAACGGCCCACCAAGGCUGUGAUGCCUAGGGGCUGUGAGAGCAUGAUCCCCACCAUUGGGACUGAGACACUGCCCAGACACCUACGGGUGGCUGCAGUCGAGAAUCUUCGUCAAUGGGCGAAAGCCUGAACGAGCGACGCCGCGUGCGGGAUGAAGGCCCUUGGGUUGUAAACCGCUGUCGAGGGGGAUGAAGGCCUUCCGGUACUCCGGAAGGUUUGACAGAGCCCUGGAGGAAGCACGGGCUAAGUUCGUGCCAGCCGCCGCAGUAACAC
rnacentral:rRNA from 1 species